GAGAGCGAAGUCAGGGGGCGUGGCCUCAAAUUUGGGGGGUUUCAGCCCAAAAUUGGGGAUGUUUGAAAGGAGUUGGGGCGGUUUAGCCACAAAAUUAUCGUCGUUUACACCAAAAUUGUCGUUAUUUACCCCAAAUUAUGGUAAUUUGCCCCAAAAUUAUCGUUAUUUCCCCAAAAUUGUCAUUGUUCAGCCCAAAAUUAUCAUUAUUUACCCCAAAAUUAUCGUUAUAGACCCCAAAAUUAUCAUUAUUUGCCCCAAAAUUAGCAGUUUGCCCCAAAAUCAUCGUUAUUUAUCCAAAAUUAUUGUUGUUUGCCCCAAAACUCUCAUUAUUUGACCCAAAAUUGUUGUUCAGCCCAAAAUUAUUGUUACUUACCCCAAAUUAUCAUUGUUUGCCCCAAAAUUAUCAUUUUUUACCCCAAAAUUAUCGUUAUUUGCCCCAAAAUUAUCAUUAUUUACCCCAAAAUUAUCGUUAUUUACCCCAAAAUUCCAGGUUUUCCUCCCCAAAAAUCCAAUUUUCCCACCCAAAUUCCCAUUUUCCCACCUAAACAAUCCCCAAAUCCCACAUUUCCUCCCCAAAAAUCCCAUUUUUUCACCCAAACAAUCCCAAAAUUUCACAUUUCUCCCACAAAAUUCCCAUUUUCCCACCCAAAUACCCCAAAAAUCCACAUUUCUCCCCCCAAAAUCCCGAUUUUUCCCCCCAAAUCCCAUUUUCUUUCCCAAACUCCCGGUUUUUCCCCCCAAAUCCUGAUUUUUUUCCCUCCAAAUUCCCAUUUUUUCCCCCAAAAAUCCCAUUUUUUCCCCCAAAUUCCCCAUUUUUCCCCCCAAAUCCCACAGAUUUUUUCCCAAAUUCCCAUUUUUUUUCCGAAAUGCCCGAUUUUUCCCCCAAAACCCCGAGAUUUUCCCCCCCCAAAUCCCAUUUUUUCACCCCAAAUCCCAUUUUUUCCCCCAAAAUCCCCAUUUUUCCCCCAAACCCCGGGGUUUUUUUCCCCAAAUUCCCAUUUUUUUUCCCCAAAUCCCGAUUUCUUCCCUCCCAAAUUCUCAUUUUUUCUCCCCAAAU
rnacentral:lncRNA from 1 species